UAUUAUCACUUUCAGUUUAAAAGGUGUCGGAAAUUUGCUUGUAUAAUGAUGUUGGAAAAAAUGAUAUCAUUUUGUCGGAAAUUUGCUUCUAAUGUUUGAAAAAAUUAUCUAAUUUUUUCAAACAUUUAUACAAGCAAAUUUCCGACACCUUUUAAACUGAAAGUGAUAAUA